GGGGCCUUCGUCUAAACUGGACUAAGGAUAGCCGGCUUUCACCCGGCAGAUGCGGGUUCGAACCCCGUAGGCCCUU
rnacentral:tRNA from 1 species